rnacentral:lncRNA from 1 species
AUCAAAGAAAUUUAAACCGAGAAGAGAGAAAGAAGGGGAAGGGAACACCACCACCGACAGUCUCAGGCAAAGAAUCCCAACAACUCCACUUGCAAUGGAAUUGGAGGACUUGGCAUUCUCAUCUCAGACUCACAGCAGGUAGCCCAGAACGGCGGCGAGGCCCGCGACGCUCCAGCCGACGGCCCUGGCGCUGGCGGCGCCCGUGGGCGCGGAGUCGUCGGAGCCGGCGGGCCCAGAGGCGGCGUCGGAGGACCCGCCCUUCUUGGGCUUGCCCUCGGACGCGGUGGGCGCGGCGGCAGGGGCCUUGGCCCCGAAGAGCUCCAUGGGCAGGAGCACCUUGUCGACGGAGUAGACGGCGAGCGGCUUGUUGGAGUAGAGCGCGUUGCUGAUGCGGACGUCGACGACGCCGGAGGAGACGUUGACCUGGUUGUUGGUGUCGGAGGUGAUGUUGAGCGUGUAGGGCCCGUCCCGGCCGGAGGCCUGGGUGCGGACGGGGUUGCUGGCGGUCUGGAAGGAGUCCAUGCUGUAGAACUGGGGCAGGACGUGGCCCUGCACCAGCGACACCUGCUGCUGCUGGGUGAGGGAGUUGAGCGUGCCGGGCUUGAGGUUGUUGAAGGCGUUGUCGGUGGGCGCGAACACCGUGUAGCCGCUGCCGCCGUUGCCGAAGGAGCUGUUGAGCUGGCUGUUGAGCUGCGUGUCCUGCUGCGUCUCCUUCAUCAGCCGCAUGAACGUCGUGUACUGCCCGCCCUUCUCCAGGAUCGCCGUCACGUUGGGGGGCCCGCUCGGUGCCGCCGCGGGGCCCGGCG